CCCAAAGUUAUGGUUAAGUGGGAAACGAUGUGGGAAGGCUUAGACAGCUAGGAGGUUGGCUUAGAAGCAGCCACCCUUUAAAGAAAGCGUAAUAGCUCACUAGUCGAGUCGGCCUGCGCGGAAGAUGUAACGGGGCUCAAACCAUACACCGAAGCUACGGGUAUCACGCAAGUGAUGCGGUAGAGGAGCGUUCUGUAAGCCUGUGAAGGUGAGUUGAGAAGCUUGCUGGAGGUAUCAGAAGUGCGAAUGCUGACAUGAGUAACGACAAUGGGUGUGAAAAACACCCACGCCGAAAGACCAAGGUUUCCUGCGCAACGUUAAUCGACGCAGGGUUAGUCGGUCCCUAAGGCGAGGCUGAAAAGCGUAGUCGAUGGAAAACAGGUUAAUAUUCCUGUACUUCUGGUUAUUGCGAUGGAGGGACGGAGAAGGCUAGGCCAGCUUGGCGUUGGUUGUCCAAGUUUAAGGUGGUAGGCUGAGAUCUUAGGUAAAUCCGGGAUCUUAAGGCCGAGAGCUGAUGACGAGUUACCUUUCAGGUGACGAAGUGGUUGAUGCCAUGCUUCCAAGAAAAGCUUCUAAGCUUCAGAUAACCAGGAACCGUACCCCAAACCGACACAGGUGGUUGGGUAGAGAAUACCAAGGCGCUUGAGAGAACUCGGGUGAAGGAACUAGGCAAAAUGGCACCGUAACUUCGGGAGAAGGUGCGCCGGUGAGGGUGAAGGACUUGCUCCGUAAGCUCAUGCCGGUCGAAGAUACCAGGCCGCUGCGACUGUUUAUUAAAAACACAGCACUCUGCAAACACGAAAGUGGACGUAUAGGGUGUGACGCCUGCCCGGUGCCGGAAGGUUGAAUUGAUGGGGUUAGCUAACGCGAAGCUCUUGAUCGA
rnacentral:rRNA from 1 species